CCUACGAGAGGUAGCAGUGAGGAAUAUUGGUCAAUGGACGGAAGUCUGAACCAGCCAUGCCGCGUGCAGGAAGACGGCGCUAUGAGUUGUAAACUGCUUUUGUACAAGGGUAAACCUGAAUACGUGUAUUCAGCUGACAGUACUGUACGAAUAAGGAUCGGCUAACUCCGUGCCAGCAGCCGCGGUAAUACGGAGGAUCCAAGCGUUAUCCGGAUUUCUUGGGUUUAAAGGUUGCGUAGGCGGAUUGAUAAGUUCGGGGUGAAAUGUCCGAGCUUAACUCGGGAACUGCCUCUAAUACUGUUGAUCUAGAGAGUAGAUGCGGUAGGCGGAAUGUAUGGUGUAGCGGUGAAAUGCUUAGAGAUCAUACAGAACACCGAUUGCGAAGGCAGCUUACCAAUCUAUCUCUGACGUUGAGGCACGAAAGCGUGGGGAGCAAACAGGAUUAGAUACCCUAGUAGUC
rnacentral:rRNA from 1 species